rnacentral:rRNA from 1 species
AAUAGAUACCCUGGUAGUCCAUGCCGUAAACGUUGGGCGCUAGAUGUGGGGACCAUUCCACGGUUUCCGUGUCGCAGCUAACGCAUUAAGCGCCCCGCCUGGGGAGUACGGCCGCAAGGCUAAAACUCAAAGGAAUUGACGGGGGGCCCGCACAAGCGGCGGAGCAUGCGGAUUAAUUCGAUGCAACGCGAAGAACCUUACCAAGGCUUGACAUAUACGAGAACGCUCUAGAAAUAGAGAACUCUUUGGACACUCGUAUACAGGUGGUGCAUGGUUGUCGUCAGCUCGUGUCGUGAGAUGUUGGGUUAAGUCCCGCAACGAGCGCAACCCUCGUUCUAUGUUGCCAGCGCGUUAUGGCGGGAACUCAUAGGAGACUGCCGGGGUCAACUCGGAGGAAGGUGGGGAUGACGUCAAAUCAUCAUGCCCCUUAUGUCUUGGGCUUCACGCAUGCUACAAUGGCCGGUACAAAGGGCUGCAAUACCGCAAGGUGGAGCGAAUCCCAAAAAGCCGGUCUCAGUUCGGAUUGAGGU